rnacentral:rRNA from 1 species
CCAAUAGCGUAUAUUAAAGUUGUUGCAGUUAAAAAGCUCGUAGUUGAAUUUCGGGGUCAAUAGGUUGGUCGUGCCACUGGUAUGUACUGGCUUUACUGAUUCCUCCUUCUUGAAGAACUGUAGUGCCAUUAGUUUGGUGUUGCAGGGAAACAGGACUGUUACUUUGAAAAAAUUAGAGUGUUUAAAGCAGGCUAACGCUUGAAUACAUUAGCAUGGAAUAAUGAAAUAGGACGUUUGAUCCUAUUUUGUUGGUUUCUAGGGUCGACGUAAUGAUUAAUAGGGAUAGUUGGGGGCAUUAGUAUUCAAUUGUCAGAGGUGAAAUUCUUGGAUUUAUUGAAGACUAACUACUGCGAAAGCAUUUGCCAAGGAUGUUUUCAUUAAUCAAGAACGAAAGUUAGGGGAUCGAAGACGAUCAGAUACCGUCGUAGUCUUAACCAUAAACUAUGCCGACUAGGGAUCGGAUGAUGUUAAUUUUUUAAUGACUCAUUCGGCGCCUUACG